UAUUUCCCGCCGCCGCCGCGCCUGCCGUUUAGGCUACUGCACCUCCCAGCCCCACCUUCGUCGCGGCCACUGCUACUCCGUUGCUAAUUCCUGCCACCGCCGCGCCUGCUGCUGUCUCUAUUUCCCGCCGCUGCUGCGCCUGCCGUUUAGGCUACUGCACCUCCCAGCCCCACCUUCAUCGCGGCCGCUGCUACUCCGCUGCUAAUUCCUGCCGCCGCCACGCCUGCUGCUGUUGCUAUUUCCCCCCCCCGCCGUGCCUGCUGUUGAGACUAAUGGCCCUCCCAGCCCCACUGCCGUUGCUGCCGCUGCUACUCCGUUGCUAAUUCCCGCCGCCGCCGCGCCUGCUGCUGUUGCUAUUUCCCACCACCACCGUGCCUGAUAUCAGUAGCAUCGAUGCUUAAUAAUCAAACUAGCGGUCUAUCUGGUGCAUGUAAGAAGAAUUACGAACCACACUCCCUAAUAAUCGUAUUAAUCAUCUUCUCUUCAUCGAUGGAGUGUCAUGCAUGAUAUCAUAUCAAGGGUAAUACACACACAUACACACACACACACACCAGCACACACAUACAAGCAUACACACACAGUAUAUAGACAAUAUUGUGUCACAGUGUGUAUAGUACAGUGUGUAUAUUGUGCUUGUUGUGCCACACAGUAAACCUUUCGAUCACCUAUAUAUAAGCGACACUCUCGUAUAAUAGGUAGGGACUGUCCCAG
rnacentral:lncRNA from 1 species